GCCCGAGUGGUGGAACAGGUAGACACUGGGGACUUAAAAUCCCCCGCCCUUUAACGGGCGUGCCGGUUCGAGUCCGGCCUCGGGCACCA
rnacentral:tRNA from 1 species